rnacentral:rRNA from 1 species
GCCCGGGAAACCAGGUCUAAUACCGGAUACGACCAUCUCUCUCCUGAGACGAUGGUGGAAAGAUUCAUCGGUUGGGGAUGGGCUCGCGGCCUAUCAGCUUGUUGGUGGGGUAACGGCCUACCAAGGCGACGACGGGUAACCGGCCUGAGAGGGCGACCGGUCACACUGGGACUGAGACACGGCCCAGACUCCUACGGGAGGCAGCAGUGGGGAAUAUUGCGCAAUGGGCGGAAGCCUGACGCAGCGACGCCGCGUGAGGGAUGACGGCCUUCGGGUUGUAAACCUCUUUCAGCAGGGACGAAGCGCAAGUGACGGUACCUGCAGAAGAAGCGCCGGCUAACUACGUGCCAGCAGCCGCGGUAAUACGUAGGGCGCAAGCGUUGUCCGGAAUUAUUGGGCGUAAAGAGCUCGUAGGCGGUUUGUCGCGUCUGUCGUGAAAGCCCACGGCUUAACCGUGGGUCUGCGGUGGAUACGGG